rnacentral:rRNA from 1 species
AAAAACAUGUCUAUAUGAUUGUUAUAUAAAGUCUAGCCUGCCCACUGAUUUGUUUUAAAGGGCCGCGGUAUAUUGACCGUGCGAAGGUAGCAUAAUCAUUAGUCUUUUAAUUGGAGGCUUGUAUGAAUGGUUGGACAAAAAGUAAGCUGUCUCGGUUAUAAUAAUUGAACUUAACUUUUAAGUGAAAAGGCUUAAAUGUUUCAGGGGGACGAUAAGACCCUAUAAAGCUUGACAAUAAUUUCGUUAUAUUAUAAAUUGUUAGUAUAACUUGAUUUUAACGGGAGUUUGUUUCGUUGGGGCGACGGGAAUAUAAUAAAUAACUGUUCUUUUAAAUAUAAUUACAAAAAUACUUGGUAAAUAAUUGAUCCUCUAUUAGAGAUUAAAAGAUUAAGUUACUUUAGGGAUAACAGCGUAAUCUUCUUUGAGAGUCCACAUCGACAAGAAGGUUUGCGACCUCGAUGUUGAAUUAAGGUAUCCUUAUAAUGCAGCAGUUAUAAAGGAGGGUCUGUUCGACCUUUAAAUCCUUACAUGAUCU